rnacentral:hammerhead_ribozyme from 1 species
AUCAAGUUGACGAGUCUCAAAUAGAACGAAACGUGCGUCCUGGAC